GAUGAACGCUGGCGGCGUGCCUAACACAUGCAAGUCGAGCGAUCUUCUUCGGAAGAGAGCGGCGGACGGGUGAGUAACGCGUGGGUAACCUGCCCUGUACACACGGAUAACAUACCGAAAGGUAUGCUAAUACGGGAUAACAUAAGAAAUUCGCAUGUUUUUCUUAUCAAAGCUCCGGCGGUACAGGAUGGACCCGCGUCUGAUUAGCUAGUUGGUGAGGUAACGGCUCACCAAGGCGACGAUCAGUAGCCGACCUGAGAGGGUGAUCGGCCACAUUGGAACUGAGACACGGUCCAAACUCCUACGGGAGGCAGCAGUGGGGAAUAUUGCACAAUGGGCGAAAGCCUGAUGCAGCAACGCCGCGUGAGCGAUGAAGGCCUUCGGGUCGUAAAGCUCUGUCCUCAAGGAAGAUAAUGACGGUAC
rnacentral:rRNA from 1 species